UACGGGGGGAGCAAGCGUUGCUCGGAUUUACUGGGCGUAAAGGGCGCGUAGGCUGUCGUGACAAGUCACUUGUGAAAUCUCCGGGCUUAACUCGGAACGGUCAAGUGAUACUGUCGGACUAGAGUACGGAAGGGGCAACUGGAAUUCUUGGUGUAGCGGUGAAAUGCGUAGAUAUCAAGAGGAACACCUGCGGCGAAGGCGGGUUGCUGGGCCGACACUGACGCUGAGGCGCGAAAGCUAGGGGAGCGAACGGG
rnacentral:rRNA from 1 species